UACGUAGGGAGCAAGCGUUGUCCGGAAUCAUUGGGCGUAAAGCGCGCGUAGGUGGUCCCGUAAGUCCGCUGUGAAAGUCAAAGGCUCAACCUUUGAAAGCCGGUGGAUACUGUGGGACUAGAGUACGGAAGAGGCGAGUGGAAUUCCUGGUGUAGCGGUGGAAUGCGCAGAUAUCAGGAGGAACACCAAUAGCGAAGGCAGCUCGCUGGGACGUACUGACACUGAGGCGCGAAAGCGUGGGGAGCGAACAGG
rnacentral:rRNA from 1 species